rnacentral:rRNA from 1 species
AUGGAACUCUUGGUGGAGCGGUGGAAUGCGUAGAUAUCAAGAGGAACGCCGAUGGUGAAGACAGUGCACUGGGCUUGUCCUGACGCUGUGGUGCGAAAGCGUGGGGAGCGAACGGGAUUAGAUACCCCGGUAGUCCACGCCGUAAACGAUGCCUACUAGGUCGUGGUUGUUCUGACACACUCACGGCCGAAGCAAAAGUGUUUAGUAGGCCGCCUGUGGAGUACGGUCGCAAGGCUAAAACUCAAAGGAAUUGACGGGGGCUCACACAAGCGGUGGAGCAUGUGGAUUAAUUCGAAGCAACGCGCAGAACCUUACCUGGGUUUGACAUGUAUGGAUGCCUGCUGUGAAAACAGUUAGGUUGCCUUCGGGUGAAACUUACACAGGUGCUGCAUGGCUGUCGUCAGCUCGUGUCGUGAGAUGUCGGGUUAAGUCCUUUAACGAGCGAAACCCCUGCCGUUAGUUGCCAGCGGGUCAUGCCGGGGACUCUAUCGAGACUGCCGGUGUCAAACCGGAGGAAGGUGGGGAUGACGUCAAGUCCUGCAUGGCCUUUAUGCCCAGGGCGUCACACGUGCUUCAAUGGGUGGUACAGAGAGACGCGAGACCGCGAGGUGGGGCUAAUCUCAAAAAAGC